GUUGAUGCUGUCCAUAAGAAAAUUAACAUGGCCAACUGUCGCCAGAAUUCUUGCUACCCUUCCUCCGAUUUUAGGUAUGUAGUGGACAAAACGUACAACAGAGGGCAGGAGAAGCAUUCCUAUCAUGUUCCCUAUCAAGUACUGCGUCCGACCAACCGUCCGCCAAUGUUCGUGGAAUGUUUGUGUCUUCUCGACGUCGUAAUUGUUCGUAAUGUUUGGGAAAUUUUCCGUAAAAAAUGUCGUUGAUGAAAGAAAAGAAGAAGAGGCACGAUACAAACUGUUUUAUUUAUGGAUGUGUUGAAUAUGACGAAAACUAUGUCGGUCAUGAGGAUUGGGAAAAAUUGAUUCCCAUGUCUGGGUUUCUACUUGCAAAUUGGCUCUCAUAUCUGUGGUCGUAAUUUUGGCAUCAAACCUCAGGAUGAUCUUCUUUCGAAUCUCUUAAUUGCUCCUAAGCUAAGAGAGUUAGGCAAGAAAUGAUCAUAGCCAUUUACUGGCCCAGUAAAUGUAACCUGUUUGCCAAUUGCUACAAUGGAAAUCAUCGUUCUCAUGCUUCAAAGAAAGACAUACCCAUAAAUUCAACUAGUCCUUGUGAAUACUGUGAUGGAUGAUUCUCAUCUCGGCAUAAGGAUUAGCUUCUCUCAACCUGCUCAUUUAUCCUACUUAACUCUCAACUGAACACAAAACUUCAAGCAUGAGCUCAUUCCUCAAAAGACUUGUUAAGAGAACAACUAAUAUUUUCCAAAGUAAGCUCUGAAGAAGCAAUUCAACAAAUGAGCCAACAGAUGACCACUUCUACAAUUGAGAAAUGCACAUCAAUGGCGUGGAAACCUUCUUGCAAGGUUGACGAAAAAUGCAACUCGAAGCAAAGGUGCGUGAUAUGCAGAUGAUGGUAUCACUCAAUUUUUCGGUUGUCGAGAGGCUAUGAAAAUGCCUUCAAAAAACAUAUUCUUAAACUUCUAAACCUAAAUUGGCAGAUACAUUAUGUUCUGCACCAGGCCAUUUCCAAUUUGCCACUUCUACAUAGCACUCUUCGAAUCUUUUGAGUGUACUAUUGUUUUUUAAAAUAUAAAUUUUGUUGCAUUACAAA
rnacentral:lncRNA from 1 species